UUCUACCCGCCCCUGCCUUGACCAUCUGUCGGAAGCAGGCACUCUUGAUCUGCUCUGCUGCCCUUCAUCCAAACCUAAUCACCAGUCUAAAAGCAAGGAUCCUUCAGAGCAGGGGUUCUUAACCUUCUUUUGUGGCAUAGACACAUUUGACAGUCUGAUGAAACCUAUGGAUCUUUUCUCAGAAUAAUGUUUUUAAAAGGCAUAAAACACGUAGGAUUACAAAGAAAACAGAUUAUAUAGCUAUGCAUUUAUCAAAAUACACUGAAAAAAAAACGUUCGUGGACUCUAGGUUAGGGACUCAGAGUAUCCCUCAUCUUUGGGGCCAUCAUUUAAUCAACACUGAAGUGAGCCCUGGAGCAGAGCUGACCUUGCUGAGGAUUGGAGACCUUGCUUUGCCUAUCCGGCAGGACCAGGGACUCAUCAUUCUCCCUGCCUUAGCUAGGUUCUCCAAGGGUUUAACGGCUGGGCCAGAUGUCUGAAAGUUUUGUUCAGAGGAAACCAUGAUGAAGUAAGAGUGUGUCACCUUCUGAAGAUGUGAAGGGACUCUAUUUUUCCACUGCUGACAAGUGAUUUACAUAGUACACCAAAAGGAGAGAAGAAAGCACUUUCCAUAUCAGCUGUCUCCAGCCAAGCACAGAGCAUUCAGAGUCUAGCACCCUUUCUGCAGGAGACCAGGGAAGUGAGCAAUGAAGAAUUAACUGUAUUUCAAGCUGCUGCCUUCAUCCUCCCCCCUCUCCGGCAGUCUCUCUUCCGACUUUUAUUGACUAUUCAUAGGCAUCUCUGUUUUAUGCAAGUGAAGUUAUGCUGGCUCCAACCACACUCUAGCUUAAAAGAAGAAACAUUCUGCCUGGGGGAAAGGUAGAUUGCUAUGAGAAAGGGCAAGGUUAUGUUUUACUGUUAGAUCAUCAUUUUAUAAAGACUAGAACUAGAAAUGACCUCACACACCAUCUAGUCUAGGGGUGGGGAAACUUCAGCACCACAUGUGGCCCUCUAGGUCCUCAAGUAGGGCCCUUUAAUGGAAUCCAAACUUCACAGCCAUGUCUUCAGGCUCCCCACACCUGAUCUAGUCCAACCUCUUUAUUUUAUAGAUAAGGAAACUGAGACCAAAGAAAGAUACUGUCAUCAUCCA